AAACUUCAUAUUAAUCUGUAUCACAAUGAAAACAAAAUGUUUGACAUCCAAUCAAUCAUGCAUACUUGAAAUGUCAAUUAUUUAACAUUGAAGCCAAAGGUCAAGACUAAAUUGCUAGCUUUCCUGAUGGUAUACAACAAGCUGUCCCAUGGUUUUACAAAAACAUACAAUACAUCAUCGAUUUAUCUCAAAAGACAAAAAUAUUACGGCUCGGACAAUUAACUACAAGUUCAUAUUAUAACACAUAGAUAUGUUUCAAUAAUUUGACCUUGAGGUCAAAGGUCAUGUAGAAAAUGCGGGCUUGGUGGUACACAACUCACCCUCUUAAUAUUAAACACUAACAUACCAAAUACCAUUGAUGUAUCUAAAGAAACAAAUCAAAAUCUGAAUAAGAAAAAAAUAAAAUUUUCAAAUUUAUUCAAUUCAUGAAUUUAAAGUUAACUC
rnacentral:lncRNA from 1 species